rnacentral:rRNA from 1 species
UACGUAGGGUACGAGCGUUAAUCGGAAUUACUGGGCGUAAAGCGUGCGCAGGCGGUUCUCCAAGUCCGUUGUGAAAGCCCCGGGCUCAACCUGGGAAUGGCAGUGGAAACUAGGGGACUUGAAUCUGGCAGAGGGGGGUGGAAUUCCACGUGUAGCAGUGAAAUGCGUAGAGAUGUGGAGGAACACCGAUGGCGAAGGCAGCCCCCUGGGCUGAGAUUGACGCUCAGGCACGAAAGCGUGGGGAGCAAACAGG